AUGGAAGUGAUGAUUAUUUCCCCAGAUGAUCGACGCUGAUUAAACUGAGCUAUUUUUGUUCUCUUUGAGAAUCCAAGCCAGUGCUCUGAUCCAU